AAGUCGUAACAAGGUUUCCGUAGAGGAAUCUGCGGAAGGAUCAUGAACGAGGAUGCGAGCACGAUGCCGACAGACCGACGGCGAGCGAGAGCGAGCUGGAGGUCUGGAGGCUCGGUUGCGAGCAGCCGAGCGGGGGUGGGGGCUGCUGUCUGCGCAAGCGGGCGGUGUGCUUCCCAUGCCCGACUCCACCCUUUGUGCGGAGAGAGGCGACGCGAAGAUGGAUGCGAGGGACAGCGCUGCACUGACGGUGCGGUGCUGCUCUGCGCGUGCAUACAUACGUACCACGUAGCAUACCUACUUACUAACUAACUACUAUACCACAACACAACACAACAACUCUCAGCAGCGGAUCUCUAGGCUCUC
rnacentral:misc_RNA from 1 species